ACCCGACCUCGGCUCCUCCCACGCAGCCUCGGUUACCCUCUCCGCCACCCGCUGGACCUCGGCUUCCAGGGCCCUGCCUCGCUACAGAGCGCUCACUGGUGCGGUUUACAAUCCUAGCUACAGAGUGCUGAUUGGUGUGUUUUACAAUCCUCUUGUAAAACAGGAAAGUUCUCCAAGUCCCCACUCGACCCAGGAAGUCCAGCUGGCUUCACCUCUCAUUGAGUUUGCAGGAUGGCAGGCUUAUGGGUGUCCUACGAUCUGCCAUUUGUUUGGAAGCUGGAGAACCAAGAAAGCUGGUAGUCUUGCUCCAGUCCAAGCUCAAAGACCUGAAAACAGGGGAGCCAACAGUGUAAACCCCAGUGUGAAGUCCAAAGGCUUGAGAACCAGGAGGGCCAAUGGUGUAAGUUGCGAGUCUGAGUCUGAAGGCUGGAGAACCAGAAGCACCCGUAUCUGAGGUGGGGAGAAGACCGAUGUUCCAUUUCAAGUACCUUUUGUGGUUUCCCUACAUCCUGUUCACAAUUCUGUGAGGAGCCCCUUGAUAUAAACUGCGCUUGAAUCAUCCCAGUUGACGUGUGUGUCAACUGUUUCCUGCUGGGACUCUUGAUAUUCCAACUUCCUGAACAUGUAAGGAAAAGCCCUAACAAUGACCUAUAAAACCCCACAAGAUCAGGAUCUGCAUCUCCGAUUACCCUCUAAUCCCUGAAUCCCUAUUUUACCUGAGUCAUACUGGCCUCUGUGCUGUGGGUCUUUGCAUGCCAACAGUCCUCUUGCCACAAGUUCCUACUCAAUAGUCUCUCCUCAAAUGCACCUUAACUGGGGGCCUUUUCCUUCCUAUGCUACAUAAAAUGGAAAGUCCCCAGCCCUCCGUAACUCUCUCACAAUGCUUUAUUUUUCUGCACAACAUGAAUAUUGUUGAUUUUUCUUUUUCGAUGGAGUCUUGCUCUGUUGCCCAGGCUGGAGUGCAGUGGCGCGAUCUCGGCUCAUUGCAACCUCCACCUCCCAGGAUGAAGCGAUUCUCCUGCCUCAGCCUCCUGAUUAGCUGAGCGCACCACCACACCCAGCUAAUUUUUUUGUAUUUUUAGUAGAGAUGGCGUUUCACCAUGUUGGUCAGGCCGGUCUCAAACUCCUGACCUCAUGAUCUGCCCCAGCCUCCCAAAGUAUUGGAAUUACAGGCGUGAGUCACAGCGCCCGGCCAUGUUGUUGAUUUUUCUAUAAUUCACCCCUCCCCGUUAGGAUGUAAGUGCCUCAAUGGCAAAACUUGAGUUUCAUUCACUGCUCUAGACAUGGCAUCUCAAACAGUGCUUAGCCACAUGGAAUGUACUCAAUGAACAGGCUAGUGGUUAUGAGAAUCACCUGUCUGGAUUCCAAUCUGUGCUCUACCACUUACUAGCUGGUGAACUCAGGCAAGCAACCUAGACAUUUCCAUGCCAGUUUUCCCAUCUGUAAGUUGGAGACAGUAAUAGCACAGUUUGCAAGCUUAUAGUGAGGACGCAGUUAAUAUUUAUAAGGCACUUUGAAGAGCGCCUGGUCUAUAGGAUGGGCUAGCGAAAUGUUUGAUCUCUUUUUGUUAAUAUAUUUUCAUAUUACAAUUAUUUGGUAUGAAAAGGUAUGGCCCCUACUGAAAAUAAAUAAAUUCACAGGAGAAUA